rnacentral:rRNA from 1 species
CUGCUCAAUGAAUAUUAUUUAAAUAGCUGCAGUAUUCUGACUGUACUAAGGUAGCAUAAUAAUUUGUUUUUUAAUUGAAAAAUAGAAUGAAAGAUUUAAUGAAAAAUAAACUGUUUCAAAAUAAUAAAUAAUUAAAUUUAAAUUUUAAGUAAAAAUACUUAGAUUUUUUUAAAAGACAAGAAGACCCUAUAAAAUUUUAUUAAAAAAAAUUAAUUUUUUUUUUAAUUUAAUUGGGGUAAUUUUAAAAUUUAUUAAAUUUUUAUUUUUUUUUACAUAAAUUUAUGAAAUUUUAUAAUCUUAAAAGAAUAAAAUUAAAAAAAAAUUACUUUAGGGAUAACAGGAUAAAAUUAUUUAAUAGUUCUUAUAUAAAAUAAUUUUUAUUACCUCGAUGUUGAAUUAAAAUUAAAUUUAAAUGAAAAAAAAUUAAAAUUUUUAGUUCUGUUCGACU